rnacentral:rRNA from 1 species
UACGUAGGGUGCAAGCGUUGUCCGGAAUUAUUGGGCGUAAAGAGCUCGUAGGCGGUUUGUCGCGUCUGCUGUGAAAAUUCGGGGCUUAACCCCGGGCCUGCAGUGGGUACGGGCAGACUAGAGUGCGGUAGGGGAGACUGGAAUUCCUGGUGUAGCGGUGAAAUGCGCAGAUAUCAGGAGGAACACCGGUGGCGAAGGCGGGUCUCUGGACAGUUCCUGACACUGAGACACGAAGGCCAGGGGAGCAAACGGG